rnacentral:rRNA from 1 species
GAUGAACGCUGGCGGCAUGGCUAAGGCAUGCAAGUCGAGUGGGUUUAGACCCACGGCAAACGGGAGAGUAACGCAUUGGUAAUCUACCCCGAGGACGAGGAUAAUCCACCGAAAGGUGGAAUAAUACUCGAUAAUAGUGGGGGGACGUAAGUCAUUCCCACUUAAAGUUCCGGCGCCUCGGGAGGAGCCUAUGGCCUAUCAGCUUGUUGGUGAGGUAAAAGCUCACCAAGGCUACGACGGGUACCGGGUGUGAGAGCAUGGCCCGGCUCACUGGGACUGAGACACUGCCCAGACUCCUACGGGAGGCUGCAGUCACGAAUCUUCCUCAAUGGCCGAAAGGCUGAAGGAGCAAUGCCGCGUGUAUGAAGACGCCCCUCGGGGUGUAAAAUACUUUUAUUAGGGACGAAACAAUGACGGUACCUAAUGAAUAAGGGGCUGCUAACCUCGUGCCAGCAGCAGCGGUAAUACGAGGGCCCCAAGCGUUAUCCGGAUUUAUUGGGCGUAAAGGGUCCGUAGGCGGCAUAACACAUCUCCUGUUAAAUCCCGGUGCUCAACUCCGGGACCGCGGGAGAGAUGGUUAAGCUAGAGGACGGGAAAGGCAAGCGGAAUUGUUGGUGUAGGGGUUAAAUCCGUUAAUAUCAACAAGAACACCAAAUGCGAAGGCAGCUUGCUGGAACGUUCCUGACGCUGAGGGACGAAAGCGUGGGUAGCGAAUGGGAUUAGAUACCCCAGUAGUCCACGCCGUAAACGAUGGAUGCUAAGCAUUGGCAGUAUCGACCCUGUCAGUGCUGUCUACCUAAGCUAACGCCUUAAGCAUCCCGCCUGGGGAGUACGGCCGCAAGGCUAAAACUCAAAGGAAUAGACGGGGACCCGCACAAGCGGUGGAGCAUGUGGUUUAAUUCGACAUUAAGCGAGGAACCUCACCUAGGUUUGACAUCAGGCUGCAGACCCCUGGAAACAGGGGAGCCUUCGAGGGUGCCUGACAGGUGCUGCAUGGUUGUCGUCAGCUCGUGUCGUGAGAUGUACCG